rnacentral:rRNA from 1 species
GACGAACGCUGGCGGUGUGCUUAACACAUGCAAGUCGAACGGAAAGGCCCUGCUUUUGUGGGGUGCUCGAGUGGCGAACGGGUGAGUAACACGUGAGUAACCUGCCCUUGACUUUGGGAUAACUUCAGGAAACUGGGGCUAAUACCGGAUAGGAGCUCCUGCUGCAUGGUGGGGGUUGGAAAGUUUCGGCGGUUGGGGAUGGACUCGCGGCUUAUCAGCUUGUUGGUGGGGUAGUGGCUUACCAAGGCUUUGACGGGUAGCCGGCCUGAGAGGGUGACCGGCCACAUUGGGACUGAGAUACGGCCCAGACUCCUACGGGAGGCAGCAGUGGGGAAUAUUGCACAAUGGGCGGAAGCCUGAUGCAGCCACGCCGCGUGCGGGAUGACGGCCUUCGGGUUGUAAACCGCUUUCGCCUGUGACGAAGCGUGAGUGACGGUAAUGGGUAAAGAAGCACCGGCUAACUACGUG